rnacentral:misc_RNA from 1 species
GAAAAGCGAUAAGUAAUGUGAAUUGCAGAAUUCAGUGAAUCAUCGAAUCUUUGAACGCACCUUGCGCUCCUUGGUAUUCCUUGGAGCAUGCCUGUUUGAGUAUCAUGAAAUCUUCAAAGUAAAUCUUUUGUUAACUCAAUUGGUUUCUACUUUGGUAUUGGAGGUCUUUGCAGCUUCACACCUGCUCCUCUUUGUUCAUUAGCUGGAUCUCAGUGUUAUGCUUGUUUCCACUCGGCGUGAUAAGUUAUCUAUCGCUGAGGACACUGUAAAAGGUGGCCAAGGUAAAUGCAGAUGAACCGCUUCUAAUAGUCCAUUGACUUGGACAAUACUUUUAUGAUCUGAUCUCAAAUCAGGUAGGACUACCCGCUGAACUUAAGC